CGCGCGUGACCGGACUGAGCAAAUUUGCUUUGGCCGCUUUCGUGCCCGAAGGAUUCAUCGAGCGUCCAAUGUAAAUUAACGAGAGCCAGACCUCGAGGGAACAACCUGGAAAUCCCGAGAAAAAUCCGGCUCGUGCUGUUUCGAAUCAACGUCAACAGAAUUAUCGCUUUUUAAAAGCAAUUAGUGGCCGACGUUGCGUCAGAUUGACAGUUAAAGAUGGACUUUUUUAUAUUGGACGAUUGAUACUCUUCCUCGGAUGUCCUUUUUUUAAAUGUAUGUUGUAUAUAUAUAAACAUUGUGUAUUGUGAAGUCCUGGAAAGAUAUAAAGAUAAAUUGAGGACAGUGGACACGGUUUUUGACAAGAUUUGAAAGAUUUGCGCUUUCCGUUAGAGAAGCAUUUCAAUCUUGGUAAAUCGAUCUAUUUCUAUUGUACUUUUAGAAUUAUGUCUUAUUUUAUUAUUACUUAUUGUACUAUUUACAAUUAUAUGAUUUUAUAUUGAUGCUAAAUGAUUUCUAAAAUUUAAUAAUUAAUGAUAAACAUCUUAAGCGAAU
rnacentral:misc_RNA from 1 species